AUGCCCAGCUUGCUGGGUGGAUUUAGUGGCGAACGGGUGAGUAACACGUGAGUAACCUGCCCCUGACUCUGGGAUAAGCGUUGGAAACGACGUCUAAUACUGGAUAUGAUCACUGGCCGCAUGGUCUGGUGGUGGAAAGAUUUUUUGGUUGGGGAUGGACUCGCGGCCUAUCAGCUUGUUGGUGAGGUAAUGGCUCACCAAGGCGACGACGGGUAGCCGGCCUGAGAGGGUGACCGGCCACACUGGGACUGAGACACGGCCCAGACUCCUACGGGAGGCAGCAGUGGGGAAUAUUGCACAAUGGGCGAAAGCCUGAUGCAGCAACGCCGCGUGAGGGAUGACGGCCUUCGGGUUGUAAACCUCUUUUAGUAGGGAAGAAGCGAAAGUGACGGUACCUGCAGAAAAAGCACCGGCUAACUACGUGCCAGCAGCCGCGGUAAUACGUAGGGUGCAAGCGUUGUCCGGAAUUAUUGGGCGUAAAGAGCUCGUAGGCGGUUUGUCGCGUCUGCUGUGAAAUCCCGAGGCUCAACCUCGGGCUUGCAGUGGGUACGGGCAGACUAGAGUGCGGUAGGGGAGAUUGGAAUUCCUGGUGUAGCGGUGGAAUGCGCAGAUAUCAGGAGGAACACCGAUGGCGAAGGCAGAUCUCUGGGCCGUAACUGACGCUGAGGANCGAAAGCAUGGGGAGCGAACAGGAUUAGAUACCCUGGUAGUCCAUGCCGUAAACGUUGGGCGCUAGAUGUAGGGGACCUUUCCACGGUUUCUGUGUCGUAGCUAACGCAUUAAGCGCCCCGCCUGGGGAGUACGG
rnacentral:rRNA from 1 species